rnacentral:pre_miRNA from 13 species
AACAAGUUAUUCACAAAAAUCACCCAAACACUGGCACUGACUUGUAAUUAGUAAAUGGGGUAAGUGCUAUUUGUUGGGGUAGUUUAGAGA